GAAAGGAAAAACGAAUCCCUCUUAUCGCCUCUUUCUAUUCUAUCUGACUUCGCGCCAUCCACCGCCGGGGGACUCUUUCACUAAAGAUGAUACCGAGGCAAUUGCGAACAAUCUUCACCGGCGCCGCCGUCAUCCUCGGCGGCAUUUGCACUCUCAACUUGGCUUCUUUUCUCACUAUUCAAACCCUUCGUCUUACUGCUGAAGCCAAACGGAGAAAGAUUGCAUUGCCCUGUAAAGCUUGUAGAGGAAAAGGAUUCUAUAUAUGCAAAUUAUGCCGAGGAAAUGCUGUCAUUCAGUGGUCGCCAUUGUCUGAUCCUAUUGCCAUGAACCCCUGCGUGUGCCCUACUUGUGAGGGAAACAGGGUACAACGUUGCCUAAAUUGCCUAGGUAAAGGAUAUGAAGUAUGAUUGAACUAUGACGUUGACAACAAGUGUGAAUUGGCCUAUAUGUUUCUCAGAAAAAAAGAAACAUCUAGGAGUCAAGUGAACUCUGCUGCACAUGGAUAGAGCACCAGUGAAACUGCUACUGGACAUGUUGUGAGAAUAUGGCUGUUCUCUAAAACUAUCAAAAUUAGUGAUCUAAAUUCAUUAACAAUUCUAUGACUUGUACGAUAAUUCAACCAACUAUGAGUAUUACACUCGUAUAAUCUUAUAACCUUAUGUAAUAGAUCUCGAUCUUUCUUUAUCUAGGCUCUUGGAUGUGGCUUACUUUUGCUGCCUGGUUGUUUCUCGUUCGCCAGAUAGCCAUUAAUUCAUUAUGUUGGCCAUCGUAGGAUGGCCAAUGGUCAAGAAAGGCCACGGUAUGAGUUUGAUAAAUUAUUUAGAGGGAAUGAGUUCAAUCCAUAAUGACCACUUACCUAGGAUUUAAUUUCAUAUGAGUUUCCUUGAUUGCAAAUGUUGUAGGGUUGGUUGACCCUUGAGAUUAAGUCGAAGUGCAUGCAAGGUAGCCUCAAAACUCACAUAUACGAAAAACAAAGAAGAUAAACCGUCAUGUCCUUUUCACAAUUGUAACCUAGCGGUUAUAACUUUUUCUUCAUUUUUUAUCAUUAUUGGGAUAUUGUUGAUCUGUUUGUAAGGCUCUGGAGUUAAUUGAUAUAAUUGCUGGUAUGUGUUGUGGGCUUGUGGGGGGCUUGUGGCCUUGUGGGUAACUUGUGAAUGCAUACAACUAGGAUAUCUUUGUAUACAUUUCUGAUUCUCCUUUUAUUCUUUUUUGGUGUUUUCA